GGGAUAACUCCGGGAAACCGGGGCUAAUACCGGAUGGUUGUUUGAACCGCAUGGUUCAGACAUAAAAGGUGGCUUCGGCUACCACUUACAGAUGGACCCGCGGCGCAUUAGCUAGUUGGUGAGGUAACGGCUCACCAAGGCAACGAUGCGUAGCCGACCUGAGAGGGUGAUCGGCCACACUGGGACUGAGACACGGCCCAGACUCCUACGGGAGGCAGCAGUAGGGAAUCUUCCGCAAUGGACGAAAGUCUGACGGAGCAACGCCGCGUGAGUGAUGAAGGUUUUCGGAUCGUAAAGCUCUGUUGUUAGGGAAGAACAAGUGCCGUUCAAAUAGGGCGGCACCUUGACGGUACCUAACCAGAAAGCCACGGCUAACUACGUGCCAGCAGCCGCGGUAAUACGUAGGUGGCAAGCGUUGUCCGGAAUUAUUGGGCGUAAAGGGCUCGCAGGCGGUUUCUUAAGUCUGAUGUGAAAGCCCCCGGCUCAACCGGGGAGGGUCAUUGGAAACUGGGGAACUUGAGUGCAGAAGAGGAGAGUGGAAUUCCACCUGUAGCGG
rnacentral:rRNA from 1 species